UAGUCUUGAACUUGGAUGUAAACAAAAUAAAAACAGAGCCAGGAUCGGAGAAGAUUUGUGUCUUGUUGUCACGAUUCUUCUGAGAUGGACGUUGGAGUGUCCAAGUCCCAUGUGUUUCUCAACUACAGCCCCAGAGCCCUCUUCUCCCAGUGGAGCAUCCCGCUGGGUGCACAGCGUGUCAUGGACGCAGUAAAGGAGGGUCACAAGAGCACCCUCAGCUCGGGUAAAAUGGUGGCUCUGGCUGCGGGGCUCUCCGUCGGGGCCACAGUGGGCUACAUUGUCUAUCGUCAUAUAAGCAGCACCAACAACACAGGUGAAGGGCCAAACCCUGAGGUGUCCAAGAUGACACUUCCUGUAGACGUUUAUAGGAACAUAUCCAGAUACCAAGCCAAGUUUUUGGACAUGGUGACCCAGAAGUCUGGAGCUCAGGUGAGGGUUUUAUCAGAUCCAGGGGAGCCAGGAUGUAAGACGGCGGUGUGUUUCCUGCUGCAGGGCUCUAAGGAGCAGGUCCUGCUGGCCCGCUGUGUCCUGGAGAACCUGGUCACUGACUGUGAACCGGUGGCCGAGGCUUUGGAGGUUCCUCAGACGGCAUUUGGACGUAUAAUAGGCCGUGGUGGAGAGAGUUUGAAACUGAUCACCAGGACCACAGGGGCCAAAGUGGCUUGUUCCAAAGAAAAGACACAUGGUCCCGGGGCAAAGGGCAACGUGACAAUCACAGGGACCAGACAGGAGGUGAAACAGGCCAAGGAGCUGAUCCUAGAAAAAGUCAGAGAGGACAUGAUGGUGAGGACGAAGAUCUCACAGUCGUCUGCUCUGCGGCAGAAACGUGGCCACACCGCUGUGAACCACACGGCGGACAGCGCUGACACUGAAGCACCAGUGGGGCUGAACAACAACGGGCUCUUCUCCCAGACAGAAAAAAAUGGCCUCAUCCACACCAACGGGGGCACAGGAGAACCAGAAGAUGUUUCAGACAAGACGGAGGAGCUGAAAAUCACCAACACAGACGAGGAGGGGGAGGAGGAGAGUGUCUCCACAGACUCACUCUCCGAAAUAUCCAAGUUUGAAAUCCCCAGCCCAGACCUGAGCUUCCAGCCUGAUGAACAUCUAGAGGUUUAUGUUUCUGCUUACGAGAACCCGAACCACUUCUGGAUCCAGAUCCUGGGGGUCCGCUCGCUGCAGCUGGACAAACUGACAGAGGAGAUGAACCGCUUCUACAACAGUGGCAACCCGACUGAGCAGAGGGUGGAGACCAUCGUGGUGGGGGACAUUGUGGCUGCUCCAUACCGAGACCACGGUACAUGGAACAGGGCCAGGGUGCUGGGAGUGCUGGGCUCUGGACUGGUGGACCUUUACUACGUUGAUUUUGGGGACAACGGGGAGCUGCCCAGGGACAGCCUCUGCCGUAUGAGGAGCGACUUCCUCAGCUUGCCAUUCCAAGCUAUUGAGUGCAACCUAGCAGGAGUGAGACCAAAAGGAGAGGAGUGGAGCGAGGCAGCCCUGGAUGAGUUUGAGCGGCUGACGUACUGUGCCUCCUGGAGACCCCUGCAGGCCAAACUCUGCAGCUACUCUCACUCUGAGGUCUCCUCCUGGCCCAGCGUCAAGCUCUAUGACAACAGUGAGGGCAAGACUGUAGACAUCGGCGAGGACCUCGUACGACUGGGCCACGCUGUCAGCUUCCAGGAAGUAGUGAACGGGAGGACAGAAGGCGACAAUCUCGGCUGUCUGCAGAGGAUGCUGGAUGACGUGAUAGGAGCAUCAUCAGAGCUAAGUCUCUCCUGUAUCAGCUUAUCAGGCACUCGGCAACAACGAGAAGACCUGUCACCAUCAGUGUCAUCUUCAUCUUAUCCAUUUAUCCCGAGGUCCGUGGAGCUGCGCAAGGUCAGCAUGAAACACGGUCCCUCAUCUACAUUCACUCACAGCUCUGCCCACUUGAGCCCGGCCAGAAUGAUUCACAUUAUUCAGUCACCACCCACGCUAACACACACCAUCAGCCGCGCUAAGUCUGGCGUCUCUGUGCCGACGCUGCGGCUUGCAAACUCUCAUCUUUCUUUCCCCUCCUCUGCUUCCUAUUUGGAGAGCUUCUCAAUCAUUUGGGAGUUAACCAGUGAUGAGAUGACUGAGGACAACGCCCUGCUAGAAGGAAGUAGUUUUGGAGGAGACACAAGGGAAUGAAAUGUUGAGACCAGAUAGAACCACAGAGAGCUUUUACUUCUGUCAGUCCUCGAGCAAAGAGGAGGACAGCGUGGUAAGGAGCUGCAUCAGCACAACCUCCACGCACUCCCACGCAAGCCAAGACUCCAGUCAGAGGGACGAGUUCAGAGAGGAUAUGUGACAACAGGGGGAGAGGACAGCAGAGACAGCAGAGUGAUAGCAGCUUCCUGCAGCAGCUGCAGCAGUGAUAUUGAGCCACCACACACCACGCCAGAAGGUGGGGCAAAAUAUAAAAUAUUGGAUAGAGGGAAAGUGGGAGUUGGUACGAUGCCACAUCUGAAGACGGCGCCCCGCCUGAUGCAGCAGGUAAAGCUUCUUGAACAGAGCCAGAAGUGAAACUGAAAUGUGGAACUAACAGCUGCACAGACAAGAGGACAGACACAGGACAGAUUUCCACAUGAACCUAUUUACAACAAACUGUACAGGUUCAGGUAAAUGUCGAAUUACAACUCCAUAAUUCACUUGGUGGUGAUUUCUGCAAGAACAUUAAUAGGCACGGAUAUCUUUCACACUCUCUGUUCCGUGAUCCGGAAAUACUGUAAUCCAGAUGUGUUUCCUCUGAUUCCUCAAGGGUGGCACUGGCUCAGACACUGGACCCUGUGAUUAAAGUAACGGCUGGUUGGUCAGUCAAAAGUACUCUAAUACAUGAAAAUAAGGCACAACUGCCACUAGAGUUAUGCUGCAAGUUUGCACGUUGCAGUUUUUAUUAUUUGGGCAGAAAACGAGAGGGAGAUGCAACAAAGGUCCAGACUCGAACCGGGGAUGUGGCAUGUUCAUUUUGUAGUCACAGCAUGAUCAACACAAAUACUUCCCAAAACAUAUUUAUUUGAUCUAUACAUUAUGAAUAUUUUUAUCCAUGUCGCUUUCUAUUGAGUUCCACUAUGUUGAACUGCCAUCCUGAUCCAGUUGAUUUGAAAUUUGGGCUUAGCCCUUCAAAACCAAAUCUAAUCAGACAUCAUUCAAUAAUGUUUCAGCAAUGAAGCCGAAAAAAACCUGAUUAAAACAAAAAUGUAGCAAGUGUUAAGGAGCUACUGGCUGCUGCAUCUACAUGCACAGCUGUUGCCAUGACUGCAUUUUUAUAUACCAUAUUAACUUUAUAUGGCCAUAAUUUGGCAAAUGUGUGCGCAUGCUGUGGAGUUCUACCCCAUGAGGUAAACUAACAACAACAAAAGGGAUGACUGCAGCUUUAAUAAAACAAGCCAGUAACUGAUCCAUCAACAAAGAAACAAGACAGAGAACUUGAGCAGAAUUCAGUGGCAGCUUUCUGUACUUGACAGGUUUCCAUACUCACUGCUGCACAGACACAUUUCAGUUGCUGUUACCUGGGAGUCAUUACAUUGUGAUUCUGCCUUCUGCACUGUGGUGGAUAAAAGGUGAUUCAAGUAGUAGUUAUAGUAGGUAUGAUUAUUGAGCAGGCAAUAACUGCAGUGUUUUUUUCUGUGUGAACCUCAGAGGCUGCCUCAAUCUCAGGAAGCGUCGAUGAUGUCAUAGAGGAUGAGCUGCUCUGAGACCAAAGAUGUUCAUGAAUAUGAAGCACUGACCAUCCCCUUUUUUGCAUCAGUUCAAAUGAGACUCAACCGCAUAAAUCCUCAUUGUGAAGCCUUACCUACUUGACAAGCGGAAGUUCUUCCAGCCAUAUUCACUUUAUUGUUACUUCAGUACAAAAUGAAUUCUUCUGUUUUGCCUUUAUGCUGUUCUGUUGUACCUGAUGCUGCUUGGCUUAUUGUCGUUACUAUAUUUUGUGUUCAAGAAAUGAAGAGAGGAACAAAACCAGAAUGCCAGUAUUAUUUCUGAGAAGCACUGUGAUCUGAGUCACUGGAACCAGAAGGCAGCUGGUUAGCUGACAGUUUUUUUUCUCCACUUAUAUGUGUAAUUCAUUGUCGGUAUAGUGGGCCUCACAAGUUAUUAUAGUUUGAAAAUGAAACCAUACAGUAUUAUUGAAUGUGGUCCACAGAUUGUGUUCAGUAUAAAAAUGUGGCAUCUACUGUAUCAUUACCUAGGGACAGAGCAGUUUGUCUUCAGAGGUGUAAUAGACUGCACUAUAUAUAAUAAAGGAUUUAUUUUAUGUGAAAGAA